UUUUGAAGAUGUGGCGUUGAUGGAGAUUAAAGGGAGGAGAUAUGAGGCACAACAGAAAUAAACUACCCACUGUGGAGCUUUGGUCUCCCCUAGUGGGGGUCCCGACCCCCAGGUUGGGAACGACGGGUUUACUGGAACUCUUUAAUGGAACAGAGCCAUCUUCAAUGUGAUCAGAUACACCUGUGUCUCUGCUGCUGCUGUGUAGCAAGUCAAAAGAUUUGCUGUGAAAAAGCCUCUGCCAAGUAUGACCGUUUAACCACCAACAACAGUCUGGACGACAAGAAGCCCAUCGUCUCAUCUGGAGCAGGACUGAGCAAUUGCAGCACUCAUCAAAUAGUUUGCACAGAAAAGAUUCUCCUUUUUUGUUUGAUUUCUGAAAAGAGUUUGUUGCUGAAAAAAUAAGGGUACAACGGUACAUGUAUGAUAUAUUUAUUUGGAACUGUUUUGGCGGGCGACCUUCUGUGGUCCUAUAAAUCCUAAUUAUGUCAACAGUUCAUCUAAACAUAUAUCAAAAUUAAAUUCUAUUCUUUCGGCUAGUCGGGUUAGCCUUGUUAUUUACAAAUGCAAAUAAAAAGCUGUAAGAGCUUCUGAUAUAAUUUAGGUUUAGGAGUGUUGCUGAUAUUGUUGGACCAAAGUUGGGUACGCUGGGUAUGCUUCUGGAAACACAAUCAA